rnacentral:pre_miRNA from 12 species
GUGAGGACUCGGGAGGUGGAGGGCGGCGUCGCCAGGGCCGGGCGCCGUCUCAGCCCGCUCGUCCCCCACCUCCUCUCUCCUCAG